UGUUCUGUUUGCAUAUAACUCUGCCAUUUUCUGUAAGGGUUCAAUUUUGGGGCAUUAAAUCUACUGCAUAUUAUGAAUCAUUGCCAUGUUACUAUCCUGUUACUAUAUUGUGAAUCAUUAUGUCAUGAGAUACAUCAUGCUUAUGAAAAGCAUGAAAAGCAGCACACUAGUGAAAAAUUAAAUAGGAACUUGGUGUUGAGGAAGUGCAGUAUACCUCACUUCCCAUGUUGUCAAGCAUUUAGAAAACAUCAUGCAAGGAAUCAUGAGAUCAUUCACAAGCGAUCAAGCUACAGACAUGAGCUGGACGUUUUGGCUUUCUCUCCUUCUCACCCACCUUGCAGUAACAGAGAGCAUGGGUUCACCUGAGAACUGCUUAACACAGCCAGUCACUACGAUCUGGAGUUCGAUAGGACAAGCUGUUGUUCUCCCUUGCAAAGUCAGUUCACACUGUCCAGACACAUACUUGCAUUACCAGUGGUUUGUUUUCAAACAAAACUACCACUUUCGUCUCAACCUGUCUAGCAAUCCUUCCAAAUACAGCUUGGAGGGAGGAUAUUUACACAUCAAGUCACUUGAUGUGAAUGACAGCGGGAUCUACUACUGUGCUGCAGUAUGGUCAGCACCCAACAUACAGGAUGUAGGUCUGGGUACAACUCUUGUAGUCAAGGGACAUGUUACGGUAAAGCAGAGUCUCUUGUGGUUAUCAUUUGCCCUCUUGGCUAUGUACAGCUUGGCAGUAGUGACACUUAUCAUUUUAAAGAAGCAUCGCUGCCAUAGGAGCAAAAGCAGAAUGAAAACAGACAAGAAUAACUCAACCAAAAAAAUACAGUUCCGUGAUGUGCUCCAGGAAAUGUACAGAAAACAAACUGCGGACAGAAGCCGUUACCAAACUGAGGCUGCAAGUACUGAAUUCAACAGCUCGGGUGAUGACAUCUAUCAAAAUGUAUGA
rnacentral:lncRNA from 1 species